AUUUUCCUCCUGUACUGUACUGACAGUUGCCCAUAGACUCAACACUGUCAUGGACUCUGAUAAAAUUAUGAUAUUGGACUCAGGAUUGCUAAUUGAAUAUGGUUCUCCUCACCUUCUUGUCAAUCAACCAUCAUCUUAUCUUUGUAUGCUAGUAAAUAAAAGUGGAUCAGCUAAUGCAAAGUGGUUGAGAAGCAUGGCAUUUGAUGCAUAUCAAAAAGGGUUGGAUGGAACAAAACUCCAGAAUAAGUCCAGGAAGAGAAAAAUGAUAACAGUAAAAUCAAAUAGUUAAUGAACCACUUUAUUUAGCAUAAGUUCCACUAAUAUUUAAGGCUUCAUAACUUUUUAGAUUCAGUCCUUAUUGUCAUCCUAAAUGUGAUUUGUACUUUGAUUUUACAUUAAAUAUAA